rnacentral:rRNA from 1 species
UACGUAGGGUGCAAGCGUUGUCCGGAUUCAUUGGGCGUAAAGAGCUCGUAGGCGGCUUGCUAAGUCAGGUGUGAAACCUCCAGGCUCAACCUGGAGCCGCCACCUGAUACUGGUAUGGCUGGAGUCCGGUAGGGGACCACGGAAUUCCUGGUGUAGCGGUGAAAUGCGCAGAUAUCAGGAGGAACACCGGUGGCGAAGGCGGAUCUCUGGGCCUUACCUGACGCUGAGGCGCGAAAGCUAGGGGAGCAAACAGG